AACUUUUAACAAUAGAUCUCUUGGUUCUAGCAUUAAUAAAGAACGCAGCGAAAUGCAAUAAGUAGUGUAAAUUGCAGAAUUUAGUGAAUUAUUAAAUCUUUAAACGCACAUUGCGCCCCUUAGUAUUCUAUGGGGCAUGCCUGUUUAAGCGUUA
rnacentral:rRNA from 1 species